rnacentral:rRNA from 1 species
GACGAACGCUGGCGGCGUGCUUAACACAUGCAAGUCGAACGGAAAGGCCCUGCUUUUGUGGGGUGCUCGAGUGGCGAACGGGUGAGUAACACGUGAGUAACCUGCCCUUGACUUUGGGAUAACUUCAGGAAACUGGGGCUAAUACCGGAUAGGAGCUCCUGCUGCAUGGUGGGGGUUGGAAAGUUUCGGCGGUUGGGGAUGGACUCGCGGCUUAUCAGCUUGUUGGUGGGGUAGUGGCUUACCAAGGCUUUGACGGGUAGCCGGCCUGAGAGGGUGACCGGCCACAUUGGGACUGCGAUACGGCCCAGACUCCUACGGGAGGCAACAGUGGGGAAUAUUGCACAAUGGGCGGAAGCCUGAUGCAGCAACGCCGCGUGCGGGAUGACGGCCUUCGGGUUGUAAACCGCUUUCGCCUGUGACGAAGCGUGAGUGACGGUAAUGGGUAAAGAAGCACCGGCUAACUACGUG